rnacentral:lncRNA from 1 species
CUACAGCCAAAUCUCAGAUCCUCUUUUUCUCAUCUGGAGUGCAACAAUUGGAAAUAAUAAUAUGCAAAUCUGCCCAGGACAGGUCAAAUUGUAGGAGGUAGAAGUUUAAUUCACAUUGAAGGGCAACAUGAGCAGUGCUGCUUUACUUUCCUUGUCAUUGUGUGAUGGGCACCAGGUCUCCCCACUACACCCGAAAUUCCUGGAGAAAUCACAGGUCUACUGGGUGUAAGAGAGGAAUCAGAUCCAAUGGUGUAAAGAGUAAAGAAUGAGCAGGAGAGGUGCAAGAAGAGAAAAAAACUCAAGAUUCCAGUGAGAGAAGAGAAGCUGAAACUCCAACCACUACUUCACUUCUUCAGCUGAGAGCCUGAAAAGCAGAUCUCCUAAGAUUGGGUCUCUCUGGAGAUCAACUGUUUCCCAGUGAACCCCUGAAUAUCUCUCACUCAAUUUAAGACAUUGUGAACUGGGACUUUGAAGAAAGCCAACUACAGAGUAAUCCUCUCUCCAAAAAUUUAUCCCCAAUCUCUCUCCCUAACUUGUCCUGGACUCUAUAACUCAAGCCAGUUAGCUCAGGAGCAGGGAUCAAAAUAGCAACUGACUGGAAGAAGGGUCAAGGCUGAAAGUUUGAUCUCUGAAAGUUUGGGGGGGUCAGUCUGCCAGUCAAUAGGGCUUCCUCUUUACCCACUUUCCUCAACUUACACCCCUACCUCUUCCUUUCUUGUGUGAAUCCAAAUAAACUGUCUACUACUUAGAAUCA